UGGGGAAUUUUGGACAAUGGGCGAAAGCCUGAUCCAGCAAUGCCGCGUGUGUGAAGAAGGCCUUCGGGUUGUAAAGCACUUUUGUCCGGAAAGAAAUCCUUGGCUCUAAUACAGUCGGGGGAUGACGGUACCGGAAGAAUAAGCACCGGCUAACUACGUGCCAGCAGCCGCGGUAAUACGUAGGGUGCAAGCGUUAAUCGGAAUUACUGGGCGUAAAGCGUGCGCAGGCGGUUUGCUAAGACCGAUGUGAAAUCCCCGGGCUCAACCUGGGAACUGCAUUGGUGACUGGCAGGCUAGAGUAUGGCAGAGGGGGGUAGAAUUCCACGUGUAGCAGUGAAAUGCGUAGAGAUGUGGAGGAAUACCGAUGGCGAAGGCAGCCCCCUGGGCAAUACUGACGCUCAUGCACGAAAGCGUGGGGAGCAAACAGGAUUAGAUACCCUGGUAGUCACGCCCUAAACGAUGUCAACUAGUUGUUGGGGAUUCAUUUCCUUAGUAACGUAGCUAACGCGUGAAGUUGACCGCCUGGGGAGUACGGUCGCAA
rnacentral:rRNA from 1 species